rnacentral:misc_RNA from 1 species
GAUGAAGAACGUAGCGAAAUGCGAUACUUGGUGUGAAUUGCAGAAUCCCGUGAACCAUCGAGUCUUUGAACGCAAGUUGCGCCCGAAGCCAUCAGGUUGAGGGCACGUCUGCCUGGGCGUCACAUAUCGUUGCCCAAUGCCUAUUGCAGUGCAAUAGGAAUUUCUAGGGCGAAUGAUGGCUUCCCGUGAGCGUUGUUGCCUCGCGGUUGGUUGAAAAUCGAGUCCUAGGUAGGGUGUGCCAUGGUAGAUGGUGGUCGAGUUAGAACGAGACCGAUCAUGUGCAUGCUCCCCAAAAUAUGGCCUCUAUGACCCACACGCGUCUUUUGACGCUCAUGACGAGACCUCAGGUCAGGCGGGGCUACCCGCUGAAUUUAAGCAUAUCAAUAAGCGGAGGA